AUCGGUAUCGUUGAAUGGUUAAGAAAGGUUUUGAGGUUUUCAACCUCAAAACCGGGGUUCGACUCCCCGUACCGAUA